rnacentral:rRNA from 1 species
GAGGAAUAUUGGUCAAUGGGCGAGAGCCUGAACCAGCCAAGUCGCGUGAAGGAAGAAGGAUCUAUGGUUCGUAAACUUCUUUUGCAGGGGAAUAAAGUGCAGGACGUGUCCUGUUUUGUAUGUACCCUGAGAAUAAGGAUCGGCUAACUCCGUGCCAGCAGCCGCGGUAAUACGGAGGAUCCGAGCGUUAUCCGGAUUUAUUGGGUUUAAAGGGUGCGUAGGUGGUUUGAUAAGUCAGCGGUGAAAGGCUACGGCUCAACCGUAGUGAGCCUCUGAAACUGGUGAACUUGAGUGUAGGAGAGGAAAGUGGAAUUCCCAGUGUAGCGGUGAAAUGCGUAGAUAUUGGGAGGAACACCAGUGGCGAAGGCGACUUUCUGGACUACAACUGACGCUGAGGCACGAAAGCGUGGGGAGCAAACA